CGGGUGUAGUUCAACGGUAGAACCUCAGCCUUCCAAGCUGCUAAUGUGGGUUCGAUUCCCAUCACCC
rnacentral:tRNA from 1 species